rnacentral:rRNA from 1 species
UACAGAGGGUGCAAGCGUUGUUCGGAAUUAUUGGGCGUAAAGGGCGCGUAGGCGGUGCCACAAGUCACCUGUGAAAUCUCCGGGCUUAACUCGGAGCCUGCAGGCGAAACUGUGGUGCUGGAGUGUGGGAGAGGUGCGUGGAAUUCCCGGUGUAGCGGUGAAAUUCGUAGAUAUUCGCAGGAACACCAGUGGCGAAGGCGGCUUACUGGUCCAUAACUGACGCUGAGGUGGCGAAAGCGUGGGGAGCAAACAGG